CCCCUCUAAGGACCACACCUGGAGAGUUUACAGUACUCUAUCAGUCUCGGCUAUGGGAGGGAGAGUCAAGCAGAGGUCUACCCAAUUCCACUCCUGGCUUGGGCAGUGGCUAGCGAGCGGAAGGCAAUCUGCUCCAAGU